UCUUGCUUCUUUCUCUCUGUUCAUCUCCUUUUUUUUUUCUGAUAACUACUUUGAGAUUACUAUUGUUUUCAGUCUAUCAACUGAAUGCCAAUGCUUGUCUUUGUUGUGGUUAUUGGUUUAAAUUCAUGUCUUGUAGCUGAAUCAAUUCAAGAUCAUCUGCCUGUAGAUUUUUAAUUCUUUUAUUUUUAAGUGGAAACCUUGAAAUCUUGAAAUUUUAUUUAAAGAUGCAAUUAAUAUGUGUUCAUAGGUGUCUUGGUAAAAUAUUUUUAGUCGAUUGCUGUAGAUUAUACAGAACAUGUAGAGGUGAGUGGAUAUAUAGGGAAAAAAAUUCCUAGCAUAAAUCGUUGGGUUAUAACCUUGAAACUUUGGGUUCAUGCCAUGGAGUUUUCUUAGGUGUUGGUCUUAGUAAAGAUGUUUGUCAGACAAGUCAACUUUGAUAAAUAUUGGUUGUACAUUAUUUCUUGUUUAAUGCUGUGAACGUUGUCUGUAUGAUGCACUUGCAUGCUGCCACCUCCUCUCACCUUCAAGAAGAAUGCCUUCCAGAUUUGUUUUAAAUGCACUACAGUAUGAUUGGUUGGUACACCCAGAAAAUGGCAAUAUUUCCAGCUUUACAUUGGAUCAUGUCUUCUGAGGAAUCAAAAUCAAACCACUUGGCUGAUAUUAUAACCAUGAACUGCCAAUAUCAUAUUCUCUUACCUCAAAUGGAGGACAUCUACUCAUUUAGUAAGCACGAUGAGGAAACAAAAUCAAGACACAUGAGAUCAUUUUUGGUUGACUACAUCUCACCUUUUUCUAAGUCUAUUUUUUAAUUUAAUUGCAAGCAACUCUAUGCUCCUGUUCAUAAUUAAUAGCAGUUUUUUCCUUGUUGAUUUACUAUUAUUUUUUGAGUAUGUGAGACAAACUUGAUUGCUAUAGAGCUCAAGUGUCAUAACAGAAGAAGCGGUAGCUUUUAAUUAAAUUUAGAAUAUAAGUUUAGUGUGAGAUAUUGCUAAUUAUGCCAGAUGUCAAUAACAGAGUGGGAGAAGGUAGCCAUUGGUUGGCCAAAUCUCUGCUUAUAGAAGAAUCUCACCAAUGAGUUGUUUAUUAGUAAAGAUAUUAUUAACCAUUGAAAUUGCAAUCAUUUCCAUGAUUUUGCUUUGGGGUUUGUAAUUAUUUCCUGGUAUAUAUUGUUGAUUAGGAUGCUUGUUCCCCUUUUAAAUAAUUUUAUUUGCACAAGUUGUAGUUGGGAUAGUUAUUGUUUAUACUUGCUAGAUGUUGGUUUGCACCUGUAAUGUGUGGCUAUGCAGUUUUUGCCCUAGAUGCCAGUCUUUGAUGAUUACUCAAAACGUUUUGGAAAUGAAGCCAAAUGCUGUCUGGGAUGAAAACAUUGGUAUUAUGAAGGAUGACACUUAUCUGACAAGGCAGAUGAUGUGGUAUAUCUAGUUUACAAUCUGGGUGGCAAACGGGUCGGGAUAAUUGGAUUGGGCAGCAUUGGUUCUAGAGUUGCAAAGCGACUCGAAGCCUUUGGCUGCACAAUCUUGUACCAUUCUAGAACAACAAGGCCAUCACUCGC